rnacentral:rRNA from 1 species
ACCAGACUCCUACGGGAGGCAGCAGUGGGGAAUAUUGCACAAUGGGGGAAACCCUGAUGCAGCGACGCCGCGUGAGUGAAGAAGUAUUUCGGUAUGUAAAGCUCUAUCAGCAGGGAAGAAAAAAGACGGUACCUGACUAAGAAGCCCCGGCUAACUACGUGCCAGCAGCCGCGAUAAUACGUAGGGGGCAAGCGUUAUCCGGAUUUACUGGGUGUAAAGGGAGCGUAGACGGCAAUACAAGUCGGAAGUGAAAUACCCGGGCUCAACCUGGGAACUGCUUUGGAAACUGUAUGGCUGGAGUGCUGGAGAGGUAAGCGGAAUUCCUAGUGUAGCGGUGAAAUGCGUAGAUAUUAGGAGGAACACCAGUGGCGAAGGCGGCUUACUGGACAGUAACUGACGUUGAGGCUCGAAAGCGUGGGGAGCAAACAGGAUUAGAUACCCUCGUAGC